rnacentral:miRNA from 1 species
UCCCAACUUGAAUGUGAGUUGCAGACUGGGAAAUCUCUGCAGGCAAAUGUGGUGUUGCUAUAGUUAUCACACAAUUACCUGUAGAGAUUCUGCAAUCUGACAUCAUACAUCAGAUCUGUGCUUUCUCAACUAUGUUUCUAUGUGUU